rnacentral:lncRNA from 1 species
ACGACACGAUGCGCACGUAGCACAUGGAAUUCAGCAGCACAUUAAGGAGACCCGAAAAUCAGGAUCCAGUUGUUUUUAUCCCAGGGCUGCUGGGGCGGUUCCAAUACACAAAUCAGUAAAGCAGUGCAGCAGAGAGAGAAUGAAGAGUCAGAAUCGCUGGUGCUCAGGGAGGGUGGGACCAACACCCACAGGGCCACCAGUGUCACCAAGCCCCAGAGUGUCCGUGGCUCUUCCACCGAGACCCGGAAAGAGCCCUCGGCCUGCACCCCAAGCAGCCCCUGCUCCUGACCCUUGUCCCCCCACUCCCAGGUCCUCAUCCCCACGACCCGGUGCCACUCCCACAAGGAGAGCAUCCAGGGCCAGCUGAAGGUGCGCGCGCCCGGCAUCUACAUGCUCAUCUUCGACAACACCUUCUCCAGGUAGGCUCUCGGGCGCAGAGCUGGACCUGCAACCCGCACCCACUGAGGCAGCUCAUGGUCGCAGUGUUCACUGCGGAUUUCACACCGCAGGGUGGCAGUGCCAGGGCCUGACCCGCGCCCACAGCUCACCCAGAGAGGGGCCCUGGACACACCCCAGAGGGUGGGGCAGAUGGAGGAAGGAGAAGCGAGAACCGGAGGGGGCGCGGAGAGGGCAGGACACGGCCCGAGAGGCAGCCUGGGCCAGCCGCUCUUGGCUGUCGGGUGCAGGCGACGCCCCCCUUUCCGUGUCUGUCUCCUCAGGUUCAUCUCCAAGAAAGUGUUUUACCACUUGACGGUUGACCGGCCUGUGAUCUACGACGGCAGUGACUUCCCCUAGCGCCGGCCACCUGGGCUGCCAGUGUCACCUCACCACAGGAAACACUACUCUUCCUCCCCGUCACACGAAGCACCAGAGAAAGAAGCAAGGCGAGGCCUCCUGCCCCAGCCCUGCAGCCCCGAAUGUCCCGCUCAGCCCCCCGGCUCCUGAGUGCUCCGUGACAUUGCCCUGAGGGAGACCAGCUGUGCUCACACCCGAGGCGCCCUCCGGAGCUCCCACCUCUCCUGCAGACAAGUUCCCAUGCCAGCCUCGCCCCAGCAGGCUCCCUGGUGACCCCAGCCAGGUGCCCUGGGCACACCCUGCAUGUCCCCAGGACGGGCCCACAGGACCAGGGUGCAGGGCCGGGCGGGCCUCCCACCACCCUGCCAGCCUCCUCCUCCUGUCACACGCUGUCCCUUAAGUUCGGGGCUGCACCAGAGCUCAUCGGUUCGGAGGAGCCGCUGAGCCACACUCCUCAUGGCCCUUUGCUGAGGUGACUGUCCUUAGGUGAAGCGCUUGCUCCUCCCGGAGCUCAGCGGGACCCAAGCCUGCCGAGCCAGGGCCUCCUGGGGCGGGGGGGAGCUCGAGGUUCACCUGUGUACCAGGGAGCAGUGCCAGGCAGGAGCCACUCUGAAAAACUGGGUCUUCUGAGCAAGUCUUUGGUGACUUAGGAACCAAAAUAGCAGAGGAAACAGAUCAUAAUUUAUCCUUGUGCCCACUCCCCCUGCCAGUGCCCCACCCCGUGUGCCCACUUCCUUCCCUGACAGGAAGCAGACGGCCUUCCCUCCCCUGGGCUCCUUUCCUGCUCCCCGCCCCACAAGGAGCUCUGGCUUAAUGGUCCCUGUCCCCGGCGAGGCCGGCCCCCUGCACUCCAGCCCCUGGUACGUCCGCAGCUGUGCAGAGUGUAUGACAGACACAGCAGCCCGCUGUGGCCAGGGGUGAGGACAGAGCCCCGCCGGGCUGGCUGAGGGUCUCCCUGACCUCCCUGUCCCCCCAGAGCCGUGACUCCUCGUCAGGAGUCCAGGCCAGGUCCAGCCCAGACCCCAGCCCACCGGGUGCCCAGCUGCAGUCCCGACACCAGCAAGGAGGCCGUGUGCGGGUCACAAGCGAGAGGAAAGAACCUGCAGAAGAGCCAGGCCUCUUAUGCCCUCUGUCCUUGGAGCGGCCUCUACUGAGUCCCCAGGUGUCCUGUCACACCCUGUCGGGGCCAUGGCUGCUCGGCAUGAGGCAGAAAACUUCCCAGCUUCCAGUGUCCUCACCACAUGCCCCUAGCCCUAAGCUCAGGAGCAGGGUAUCUGGCUUCAAGCCCACCUGCCCUAUUGUACAGAGCCACUGGAAGCUGGCUGCUCCCCAUGAGACAGGGGCUGACAGGAGAGUGACAGCCUGGAAUCUUCUUCCAGUGCCGACUUUCCCAGGAUGCCCUGGGGACUCUGGCCUCGCUGAUGGCCCUCUGUGGACGCCCCGCCCCUGUGCAGCAGGAGCCACCUGCAUUGAGCAGCUGCUGUGCCCAGGCCUGGGCGUCACCUGAGCAUCUGUCACUCGGCACAGCAGGGACUGCUUGCAGGUCCCCAGGCCACCUGGCUGUCGUGAAGCCACCCAGAACCGCUCCUGGAGGACAGUCGGGCCUCUGCUGCAUGUCGGGGCUGCCCACGGCCACCUGGGGCACUUCCACCGUCACUUCCUCCUGGCCUCGGCAUGCACAUUUCUUGUGCUGAGUGGACACUUACAUGCCACUAGCUUUCUGCUCAGAUCCAAUCUGCAGUGCACUGUGUAGCUCAAGACCGCUUGGCCUGUUUAAGGCUGGAUUUUACACAUAGCUUUAUUCUCACUCUAAACAGUUCUCAGCUGUACUAAGGUUUGGAGUUUAGGUCAUUUUUUAGAAAUGCAAAUGACAAUUGAAUCACUGCUGACAGCCAUCGCCCCAGCUAGACACUACACCGGAAGUCACAAGCAGGUGACCUCAGGCUCCAGGUCACUACCCGCCCCUCGCAGGCCUCGCCCGGAAACACAGCAACCAGCCCGACAUGUCCACCACCAAGGCAGCCUGGUUCCCGCAGAGCACCCAGCCUGGGGCCCUAGACUCCAGGUGGACGCGGGAAGCAGGCAGAAUCCAGCGCGGAAGCCUCACGGGGUUCGGGCAGUAGCGGUGCAGAGCCGCGUCACAUACUCAGAAGUGCAGGAAUGGUGUUUCUGAAACCCGUCAGUGGCGAGGCCAUUCCAGCCAGACAGAAGGAAAUACUCCGGAAGGGUGGGAUCGCCAAUUGACUGGGCGCUCGCCAAUAGAAUUUUAUAGGUGUUUCAUUUUUAAAAUCCACCUAGAGCCGUUUAGCCAAGAAGCCGUUCUUGGUUCGGGGUUGGGGAGCAGGGAGAAGCCGUCCGCAGUGCUGAGAACAAGGGCCAUCGAGAGGCGUCUGUCUCUUGUCUUUGUUCUGCCAAGGGUUCCCCUCUCCAUCAGAAGCACUUUUCUUAGUAAAGCAGAUCGUUAGAUUCCAGGAAGCAUCUCUGACAGGGCAAAGCCAGAAAGACAGCUUCCUUAGGGCCUCCUGCAUGUUACCCAGAGACGCUUCCCUGGGCUUGGGGACACCAGGCCUCAGGUCAGAGGCUGGAAAUCGGAAUGCACUUUACUGCCCCUCACUUCCGUGGCCUUAGGGAUGGGCGCUGAGUCUUUCCUGCCAAAGAAUGGCCAAAGUACCUCAGAUACCAGCACCGCAGCCCACAGUGGGGCCCGAGAAACUUGUAGCCCAGAACGUGUUCCUUAUAGCACCUGCUAAGCCGUUUGGAAAUGUUUUUUAACCUCAGCAUUUAAAUAAACACUAUGACAUUUAGAGCAGCCUCGUCCAUCAGUCUGUUGAAAGACUCGUGAUAAGACAGACGCACAAACACGUCGGGAAGCGGAGCGUCUUUACAUCAAGACGCGGGCUGGCGGCUGGCGAGGCCGUGGCCGCGGCUCCCCGCAGGCUGCCCCGCCCUUGCCGGGACGCUGUGCUCGAGCCUGGCCUGGCUGGAUGAGCUCGGGAUGCGGGGCCUCCCAUGAGUGCCUCUGCCGCAAGGGCCCCGCCAGCACCCAGCCUCCCUUCCUCUUCCGCCCCCACCUGCCCCGGGUUCUCUCCUGGCUCCUUCUUCAGUCACCCCCAGCAGCGGGGCAGUUGUCCCUCCCGGGCUAGGGCCGGGGUCUGGCUCAUCCCCAUCUCCUCGCCACCCCGGGCUCGGAGCUCGGAGCAGCGCGCCGGACAGCACAGCAGGAGGGGCUCCCAGGUCCCGAGUCGAUGAGGACCCCGGAGCGGCCCGGUGCGGUGCUUUGGGUCAGCUCAGAGGCCACCGCUGCGGGGACAGAAGCUGCCAAAGCCCCAAGGCAAGUCAGCAGGAGGAGCUUCGGGCACGGGGACGGGCGCCGGUCACAGCCCUGAUGCGCACCCUCCGCCGGGGCCCCCAGGUCCACCCGCGUUCACCCCACCGCCCCAAACCCCGAGUGACCCCAGGGGACCGGGUCCCUGCCGGACGAGUUCCAAGCCCACACCCCAGGCCCCCCAGGACUCGGCCUGCCCGGCCUCAUUGGGUCCCCAGCGCUGAGGGCCCAGCACCUCCCCGGCGACCCGGAAGGACACACGCUGCAGGGUCAGCCGCUUCGGUUUAAGAUGCGCGGGAAACUCUGCCCACACACAUCUGACGAGCAAAUCGGUGAAACCCGUCACCCGGAAUGAGAAAACGGGUUACUUUUUGAUAGAUUUCCCUCCAGUUUAGGGUGGCUGCUGUAUAUAACAGCAACCUUCUUUCCAGCAUGCCCCUACUCCCACCAAAAGAGUAACCUGACGCUUGCUCUCCUCCUGGCAACCACUGACGUCACCGGCUCCUCCAGUCCCUAGCCGCUCCCUCACUCAGCCCCGCCUCAGCCCCUACAAGCUCCACCCCCGCCCCUAUAAAAGGCACUUGCUUCCCCUACCAUCUUGCUUUUGUCUCUCCUUUGUUCAGAGACGACCCGGCCAGCCGCUCCCGCCUCCGGCCGCAGUCGGAGAAGCUGGUUCCUCCUGUCCUUGCCCAGCGCCCGCUCUCGGCCGAUGCAGAAGGAGACGUUCCCCAGGCCCGGACACCCCACUUCCAGGUCAGCGGGGCAGGCAGAGGGUGUGACCGGAAGGGCUUUCCCCGAGACACGGAGGCCAGGCUGCAGCCUGGGUGGCAGAAGCUGGCUUUGUUGUUGGAGGAGGGGAACAGAGAAGAAAUGGUAGUGCUCGUGGCUAAAGCCAACGGCCACAUCCGUGAGAACCACCGGGUGAGCACAAAAGCCCUGGAGCCCUGACUGAACAUCACCAGGGGCGGGGGCUGCACCGAAGCCACAUUUGUGAACAGGCCGGCAGCAGCAUCGCCCGCACAGGCCUCUGCCCACAAGUGGCUUCUGUGUGUGGCACCGAAGGUCACUAUGACAACAGCUUGUGCACCCCCGUGCGGUCCCCCACAGAACUGUUGGGUGUUCUGAGGAAGAGAUCAUACACACCCCCAGCUGGCCCUGUGGAAGGGUCACAGGGAAGUCACCAGUCCUGCGUGGGUCUCUGGUUACCAAACAUCUGGGUACAGAGCCUCAGGGGAGAGCCCAAGACUCACCACCACUCCUUUGUUCCAAGCUCCACCGCUCGUUUAGUGGCGGGGGACCCAGAGCGAGAGGUGGUAUCUCCCACAUCAGCACUGGUUCACCAGGUCUGGUCACUCACCAGUCACCGGGGACCCCGAGAAGGUGCUGGGGAGCAUUGCUGCAUCUCCACGGCCGGGCCUAGGAUGGGAGGAGAGGGCUCACGGGUGGAUCGGUCUGUCCUCCACUUCAGCAGUGCCCUUGACGGGUGGACAGGGACUUCCUCCUUCACCCGCUGGCCCGGCACUGGGUGCAGCAAGGGAGAUGUUAUUCUUGUCGAGGAGGACAUUUCUAAAUGAAUUCCCUGCCAUGAAACUAUUCUGCAGGUAAAAUACUUCUACAACCACAAUUUUUAAUGCUUAUAUUUUUAUUCAAGGGGCCUGUUGAGAACUGGCAGAUCCUUCAUCAAUGGAAAACCACUCCCUUCCUUUGAAUCUUUACCCAGAGAGGCUAUUAGAAUAAAUAAAUUCAUUGAAGUUACAGGUUACAAAGUCAACAUAUAAAAAUCAGUAGCAUCUCUGGAUACCAAUAGUGAACUAUCUGAGAAAGAAAUCAAAAGCAACCCCACUUCUG